rnacentral:rRNA from 2 species
UAAGCGGAGGAAAAGAAACUAACAAGGAUUCCCCUAGUAGCGGCGAGCGAAGCGGGAAAAGCUCAAAUUUGUAAUCUGGCGUCUACGACGUCCGAGUUGUAAUCUCGAGAAGUGUUUUCCGUGAUAGACCGCAUACAAGUCUCUUGGAACAGAGCGUCAUAGUGGUGAGAACCCAGUACACGAUGCGGAUGCCUAUUACUUUGUGAUACACUUUCGAAGAGUCGAGUUGUUUGGGAAUGCAGCUCAAAUUGGGUGGUAAAUUCCAUCUAAAGCUAAAUAUUGGCGAGAGACCGAUAGCGAACAAGUACCGUGAGGGAAAGAUGAAAAGCACUUUGGAAAGAGAGUUAACAGUACGUGAAAUUGUUGGAAGGGAAACACAUGCAGCCAGACUUGCUAUUCGGGGCAACUCGAUUGGCAGGCCCGCAUCAGUUUUUCGGGGCGGAAAAGCAUAGAGAGAAGGUAGCAAUUUCGGUUGUGUUAUAGCUCUUUAUUGGAUUCGCCCUGGGGGACUGAGGAACGCAGCGUGCUUUUAGCAUAAGCUUCGGCUUAUCCACGCUUAGGAUGCGGGUGUAAUGGCUGUAUAUGACCCGUCUUGAAACACG